rnacentral:rRNA from 1 species
AUUGAACGCUGGCGGCAUGCCUUACACAUGCAAGUCGAACGGCAGCAUGGAAGAGCUUGCUCUUCUGAUGGCGAGUGGCGAACGGGUGAGUAAAGCAUCGGAACGUACCGUGUAGUGGGGGAUAACGUAGCGAAAGUUACGCUAAUACCGCAUACGCACUGAGGUGGAAAGCAGGGGAUCGCAAGACCUUGCGCUAUACGAGCGGCCGAUGUCAGAUUAGCUAGUUGGUAGGGUAAAGGCCUACCAAGGCGACGAUCUGUAGCGGGUCUGAGAGGAUGAUCCGCCACACUGGGACUGAGACACGGCCCAGACUCCUACGGGAGGCAGCAGUGGGGAAUUUUGGACAAUGGGCGAAAGCCUGAUCCAGCCAUGCCGCGUGAGUGAAGAAGGCCUUCGGGUUGUAAAGCUCUUUCGGCCGGGAAGAAUACGUGGUCUCUAACAUAGGCCAUGGAUGACGGUACCGGACUAAGAAGCACCGGCUAACUACG